UUCGCCCUUUUCCGGUUGAUCCCGCCGGACCUGACUGCUAUCGGAUUGAUACUAAGCCAUGCGAGUCAUUGUAGCAAUACAAGGCAGACGGCUCAGUAACGCGUAGUCAACCUACCCUAUGGACGGGAAUAACCUCGGGAAACUGAGUAUAAUGCCCGAUAGAACACUAUGCCUGGAAUGGUUUGUGUUCCAAAUGAUUUAUCGCCGUAGGAUGGGACUGCGGCCUAUCAGUUUGUUGGUGAGGUAAUGGCCCACCAAGACUAUUACAGGUACGGGCUCUGAGAGGAGUGGCCCGGAGAUGGGUACUGAGACACGGACCCAGGCCCUAUGGGGCGCAGCAGGCGAGAAAACUUUGCAAUGUGCGAAAGCACGACAAGGUUAAUCCGAGUGGUUUCUGCUAAAGGAACCUUUUGACAGUCCUAGAAACACUGUUGAAUAAGGGGUGGGCAAGUUCUGGUGUCAGCCGCCGCGGUAAAACCAGCACCUCAAGUGGUCAGGAUGAUUAUUGGGCCUAAAGCAUCCGUAGCCGGCUCUGUAAGUUUUCGGUUAAAUCUGUACGCUUAACGUACAGGCUGCUGGGAAUACUGCAGAGCUAGGGAGUGGGAGAGGUAGACGGUACUCGGGAGGAAGUGGUAAAAUGCUUUGAUCUCUCGAUGACCACCUGUGGCGAAGGCGGUCUACCAGAACACGUCCGACGGUGAGGGAUGAAAGCUGGGGGAGCAAACCGGAUUAGAUACCCGGGUAGUCCCAGCUGUAAACUAUGCAAACUCAGUGAUGCACUGGCUU
rnacentral:rRNA from 1 species